GAAAGAAUUUGUAAAUACAUGUAGUGUAUCCUAAGUACACAGUGUUUAUAAAGUCUGCAGUAACAGCAUUGUCCUCGGCCUUCACAUUUACUCAUAACUCACUCACUGAGUCACCCAGAACAACAUCCAGUUCUGCAAGCUCCAUCCAUGGUAAGUGCUCUAUAUAGGUGUACCAUUUUAAAAUUUUUAUAGCAUAUUUUUACUGUACCUUUUCCAUGUUUAGAUAUGUUUUGGUACAGAAAUGCUUACCAUUGUAUUGCAAUCGCCUACAGCAUUCAGCACAAUAACAUGCUGUACAUGUUUGUAGCCUAGGAGCAAUAGGCUAUACUUUAUAGCUUAGGUAUGUAGUAGGCUGUAGUAUCCACAUUUAUGUAAAUACAGUCUAUGAUGUUUCCACAACAACAAAAUCACCUAAUGACACAUUUCUCAGAAUGUAUCUCCACCAUUAAGUGACACAUGACCCUAUAUUUAAGACACAUAUUAAUGAAUAAAAAAAUCUUUUGCAUAACACCACAGGAGAAAGAAGUUUCUUUCUGUGUGUUAAUAAUCAGAUUAUGCCCAGCUUUGUCAGUAGCUAAAAGUGGGCAAAGGAUAUGAACAGACACUUCCCAAAAGAAGACAUUUAUUUAGCCAAUGAACAUAUGAAAAAAAGCUCAUCGUCACUGGUCAUUAGAAAAAUGCAAAUCAAAACCACAGUGAGAUACCAUCUCAUGCCAGUUAGUAUGGCGAUCAUUAAAACAACAGAUGCUGAAGAGGAUGUGGAGAA
rnacentral:lncRNA from 1 species